rnacentral:rRNA from 1 species
GGCCCAGACUCCUACGGGAGGCAGCAGUGAGGAAUAUUGGUCAAUGGGCGAGAGCCUGAACCAGCCAAGUCGCGUGAGGGAGUACUGCCCUAUGGGUUGUAAACCUCUUUUGUCGGGGAGCAAAAGCCGGACGUGUCCGUCUGUGAGAGUACCCGAAGAAAAAGCAUCGGCUAACUCCGUGCCAGCAGCCGCGGUAGUACGGAGGAUGCGAGCGUUAUCCGGAUUUAUUGGGUUUAAAGGGUGCGCAGGCGGAUUUUUAAGUCAGCGGUAAAAUGUCCGGGCUCAACCCGGGCCGGCCGUUGAAACUGGAGACCUUGAGUGCGCGGAAGGCAGGCGGAAUUCGUGGUGUAGCGGUGAAAUGCUUAGAUAUCACGAAGAACCCCGAUUGCGAAGGCAGCCUGCCGCAGCGUUACUGACGCUGAAGCUCGAAAGCGCGGGUAUCGAACAGGAUUAGAUACCCUCGUA